AAUGUGUGGGGGUCAGGAUCCUGUCAUCUGAGGGUAACUGCCAUUUUUCCAUCACAGGGGCACGACGUCCACUCAGGCUGAGGGUUCAGUGGUGUGUUCUUUCAGCACGUGGCACAUUCCAGGGCAGGUCACUAGAACCAGCUCUGCUGUGAGUGUUCAGACGGUUUUGGAAGACGACGUUCCACAUCGAGGAAGAAGGCCGAACAGUCGACGCAAUGCAGCAGACAAAUGGAACGCUGGAACGCAGGACCGGCUCUCCAAGCUCCUUUAUUCACACCUGCACUGUUCGACGUUACUACAGUCAAGUCGACUGUCUGUCUGGACAAAUCAGCCGAAGUGGACGAAGAACACAAACCAUGUACCUGAGUUAAAGUCGAGACCCCCAAGGAUGUUCUGCAGCUUGGAGCAGAUGUGCACAUGCCUCACGUAGUCCAGGAGGGUCCGCACCACCCGGCCCACCAGGUGCCUCAGCC